GUACAUUAAUAAACAUCGCUGAUUUGGAUAGCAUCGUUAUCACAGAAGGAUGCCAUCUUCCAGGUUCUGCUCCUCUAGGACUACCUGACCCACAUGCGGUCCUACUUCUUCGCCAGGAGGUAGUGGGACACAACCAAAUCCCAAAAGACCGGAAUCCUCUUGUUGGUCAACUUGUGCUGCUUGGACUCCUUCACUGCCAUCCAUCUCAAGAACGUAAUUCUCACAGAAGAGGAGAGGUGAUAGACCCAACUGCAACCACAGCACAAGUGAUCAAUAAUGUACAGACUGUACAACAACGGUCCCAAAACCGAACCUUGAGGUACUGUCACGUGGGGGUUGCAUAUUCAUGCGGGAUCGUUCCUUCAGUGCACAACACGGACACUCCGGACAAAGACGUGAAGCAACUCCACUGACUCUCCGUUGACCUCCAGCAGCACCUCGCCAUCCCGCAUUCCCGCCUUCUCUGCUGGGCUGCCAGCGUCCACCUUUCGCAGCACAUGAGCUGUGAUUGGUGGAGACACAAAGACAAGAAUGGAACACCUGUGUUCAGGAUGUCUGGCAUCACCCUCAGAGAGAGGCUGAGGAGCUCGGUCAUCCAGGAGAGACUCAGAGUAGAGCCGCUGCUCUUUCACAUCGAGAGGAGCCAGCUGAGAUGGCUCGGGCAUCUACUACGGAUGCCUCCUGGAUGCCUACCUGGUGAGGUGUUUCGGGCAUGUCCAGCCGGUAGGAGUACCUGGGGCAGACCUAGGACACGUUGGAGGGACUAUGUCUCACAGCUGGCCUGGGAACGCCUCAGUCCGAGCCCCUGUGGAACUACAGGAGGUGGCCGGGGACAGCAUCUCUGCUUUUUCAUCCGUUUUUUUAUAAUCCAUCAAGUUGUGUACAAUAAAUCCGCAUUCUUCUCUUGGUUGAGACGCUCCAAUUUCAACACAAUACAUUUAUUAAUAAAAAAGUAUUAUCCCCACUGUCAACAAUGUUAAUCACAAGCAUUGAAACAGCGGAUUAGUGGAUUUUUUUAUCGUUAAAGAUGUUUAAGCACAAAGCAGCGGGGGCACUGCUGAUCCACUCUCAACUAGUUUGGGGUCUGAAGAAGAACUGCAUGAUUAAAAAAACUUUGGCUAGGUAACUUUUAAUGAUCACUUUUUACAUCACUUUUAAUUCUGUUUGUGGUCACAGUUAAGAUGGAGCCUAUCUCAGCUGGUUUAAUGCCUAUCAAGGAUGAGUUGCCAGCCAAUCACCGUACGCCUUUUAUUGUUUGUUAUUGUUUUCCAAUUGUUACCAUUGUAUACAAUGUUAUUAUUACAGCUGAAUAUUGGCAACACUACAUGAUGUGAUACAGUAUUGCACUAUUGUGAUAUAUAGCAACAUUCUACAUAGUUCAGUGAAAAAUGUAAAAUGUAAUAAAAAUACAAGUUGUAUAUGUAAAUCUGUAUGUAUACUAAACUUAGAUGAUCAUUCAUUGGAGAAACUGAGUCAACAUUUUUUGUGUUCCUUCUACUUACUGCAGAUUUUAAAAUACUUAAGUACACUGAUUUUAAAGUACAUUGAAUACAUUGAUUUAAAAAUACAUUGAGUAGAAUUCAAUACAUUGAGUAUAAAGUGCCAUUGAGUACAUUGGUUUUAAUGUAUUGUGGAGCUCUGCAAUCGAUGAGACAGGAGUUUAAGUUGGAAGUAUUACCGGUAUUUUAGCAACAUUUUUUGCAAAUGCGUAUCUCAUAUCUGUGCGUCUAAUCCAAUUCACGUGUUUCUGGUGGUAUGUUUUAAGUUGUCUCUCUUUUAUGAUAUGUUCGUGGGUAAAAAAAAAAUAUGUAUGUCCGUAUUUCCUCGACUGGCUGUCAUUUUACACGUGACUUUGCUAAGUUUCUGCUGUGAAAGAGAUGUGUGUGCAUAAUCAUAUUUGUGUGUGCAUAUUCAGAUGCGUGUAUGUAUAAAGCAAUCAGAUUCUAAGGGUUGUGUGUGAGUACAAAAUGUGUGCAUCUGUAAUCAGAGUUGUGUGAAGCAGGAACCCUAAUUCACUUUUUACACAUGACUAGCUACAUUUCUGCCGUGUAUGUGUUGUACAAACCCCGUUUCCAUAUGAGUUGGGAAAUUGUGU